UGGCUUGAUGAGUGAUGCGUAUGUCCGCGCCCAGGACCUGAACUGGGGAAGCCCAGGCUGCGGAAGCAGAGCACAUGAACUUAACCUUUUGGCCGUGGGGCGGGCCCCAAGAAAAGGGCUUUGAGAUUUGCCUUUUCUGGACAUUUCAGAUCAAUGCAAUUGUGCAGCACGCGUGUCUUGCACCUGGCUUCUUUCCCUCAACACCAUGUUUCUGAGGCUCUUCUAUGUUGCAGCGUGUGUCAGUACCUUGUUCUUUUUUAUGGCCAAACCAUAUGAUAUUGCAUGGAUACACGGUACCACAUGUUGCUUACCUUUUCAUCAUUGAAAGAGCACUCUGAUCAUGUUGGACCACAGAGAAGACUGAGGGAAGGGACAAUACCUAAUUCAUCUCCCUUUUCCCAGGACCGAGCAGAGAGCCAGGCACAGACUAGAUGCUCCGUGUGGUAGCCACUAGUGCUGGCCACCAAAUAUUUCUUUCUUCUCCUGUUGCACUUCCUUGCUCCUUCAAGUUAGUUGUGGCCAAGUGACUUGCUUUCAUCAACAAAAUGUGAAUGGAUGUGAUAUGCGUCACUCCUGAGCAGAAACUUUAAAAGUCAGUGAGCAACUUAACCAUACUCUUAAUCUUGGAGGAGGUGGCUGGCUGCACCAUCACACUGGACCCUGCAGUGAGAAUGACAAGGACAUGCCACUCUAUAGCCAAUUGACAUGUAGAGUGAGCAAGAACUACAGGCUGAUUUAAGCUGCUUAGAUAUUGGCAUCGUUUGUUACUGCAGCAUAACCUAACUCAUCCUGACUAUUAUGUGGAUAAAUGUUUGGUGAAAAAAAUGAAUGGAACUAAAGAGCAGAACAUUAAAUUCUCUGUCUUUUCUGAUUAAAACUAUGAAAAACAAUGUCGGAAUAUGGGCUGUAAACUUAAGGAAAUGAGGAAA